GAUGAACGCUGACAGAAUGCUUAACACAUGCAAGUCAACUUGAACUUCGGUUUGGGUGGCGGACGGGUGAGUAGCGCGUACAGAACUUGCCUCACAGCUAGGGACAACAUUUGGAAACGAAUGCUAAUACCUGAUAUUAUGAUUAUAUGGCAUCGUAUAAUUAUGAAAGCUAUAUGCGCUGUGAGAGAGCUUUGCGUCCCAUUAGCUAGUUGGAGAGGUAACAGCUCACCAAGGCGAUGAUGGCUAGCCGGCCUGAGAGGGUGAUCGGCCACACGGGGACUGAGACAGGGCCAUUACGCCUACGGGAGGCAGGAGCGGGGAAUAUUGGGCAAAGGACCGAGAGUGUGAUGCAGGAAUUCUGUGUGCAAGAUGCAGUUUUUCGGAAUGAAAAGUGGUUUCAGUUGGGAAGAACAUAAUGACGGUACCAACAGAAGAAGCGACGGCUAAAUACGUG
rnacentral:rRNA from 1 species